UCUCAGAAUAAUACAGGACUUCUGCUAUCAAGAGAAAAAGUGGGGGAUGACCGAUUCAGGAUCCUGGAGGGGCAGACGUAGCUGCUCGAGCUUUGAUGGCCAAGCCUCACAGGAAUGGAGCCAAAGGAAAAUUCUCUCUGCCCGUGAAGAUGGAUAUUCAGUUCCAGCCGGUCUUGGAAGAGGAGUUCGACGGCCCCACCCCUCUGACAGCUAGCCCAACUCAUGGAAAAGGAAUGUACUUUGGCAUUGGCAACACUUGGAUCUGAACUUCUUCCUUGCCGUUUACUGCCUCUGUGACCUUGGAGCUUGGUGUGGCCAGGACAAGUGCAGUGUAGACGCUGAAGGGAGGCGAAAUGAACAACAUUCCUGCACACGUGUUACGUGACAACACGGAGGUUAACAGAAUGCGUCCAAAGUCAGAAACACCGGGUUCUUAUCCCAGGUUACCCUCCUUCGAGUUGAAUGCCUUCAGCUAAGUGACAUCAUUUCUGAGAGUCCCAGUUUUGUCAUCCGCAAAGUGGGGAUUGCAGGGGAAUCAACUUUCAACUUUUAAAAGUUAUCCAUGCAACAUGACUGGCACUUAACAGCUGGGCAGUAGUGGCAGCU